rnacentral:rRNA from 1 species
AACACGUCACCGUGUACAUACUGGUGAAGACUAGUGGCGAACGGGUGAGUACACGUGAGCAACCUGCCCCGAAGACCGGGAUAACAGCGGGAAACCGCUGCUAAUACCGGAUGUCCCCAUCAGGUCACAUGACCUUAUGAGGAAAUGGAUUCCGCUUCGGGAGGGGCUCGCGGCCUAUCAGCUUGUUGGUGGGGUAACGGCCUACCAAGGCAACGACGGGUAGCUGGUCUGAGAGGACGAUCAGCCACACUGGGACUGAGACACGGCCCAGACUCCUACGGGAGGCAGCAGUGGGGAAUAUUGCGCAAUGGGCGAAAGCCUGACGCAGCAACGCCGCGUGAGGGAUGAAGGCCUUCGGGUUGUAAACCUCUUUCGAGCAGGGACGAUAAUGACGGUACCUGCAGAAGAAGCUCCGGCCAACUACGUGCCAGCAGCCGCGGUAAU